rnacentral:tRNA from 1 species
GCAGCUCACUGGCAGAGCAUCUGCUUUGAAUGCAGAAGGUCCCGAGUUCAAUUCCCAGUACG